rnacentral:rRNA from 1 species
CACGUAGGCACCAAGCGUUGUCCGGAUUUAUUGGGCGUAAAGGGCGCGUAGGCGGCCACCGCAAGUCGACUGUGAAAUCUCCGGGCUUAACCCGGAAAGGUCAGCCGAUACUGCGGGGCUAGAGUGCAGAAGGGGCAACUGGAAUUCUCGGUGUAGCGGUGAAAUGCGUAGAUAUCGAGAGGAACACCUGCGGCGAAGGCGGGUUGCUGGGCUGACACUGACGCUGAUGCGCGAAAGCUAGGGGAGCGAACGGG